ACGACCGAUGCAACCGAUCGAUGCAAUCGUGGCUUUCGCGAGAUCAUUAAUUAUAUCAAAUAACGAUUAUUUCAUUAUAAAUGGGUCAGAAACAUUACCUUAGAGGAUAGAUAAAUAGAUUUGCCGCAGAUCCAAUAAUAACCAUAAGCUGUAUUCGUCUAAUAGUAACAGUAGACAUGAAAGAAGAACUCACGCGGGUGACGACGAUCGGUGUACCCAAAUCAGCGCCUCCAGCGAUACGUAUUCCCCAAGGUUUGCCGGUGCUGGAUCUCUUAAGCUUCACGAUCACCGUUUGUUUCCUCGUCAUGCUCUACUCUGUCUAUCAGAACAACGCAAUCGCGUGUUUAUAACGAACGCAAAUCGCAGAGACCGAUCGCUAAGUUGAGAAUUAAGAGCAA